rnacentral:rRNA from 1 species
CCUACGGGAGGCAGCAGUGAGGAAUAUUGGUCAAUGGACGACAGGCUGAACCAGCCAAGCCGCGUGCGGGAAGACGGCUCUAUGAGUUGUAAACUGCUUUUGUACGAGGGCAAAUGCAGAUACGUGUAUCUGUCUGAAAGUAUCCGACGAAUAAGGAUCGGCUAACUCCGUGCCACCAGCCGCGGUAAUACGGAGGAGGCGAGCGUUAUCCGGAUUUAUUGGGUUUAACGGGUGCGCAGGCGGAAGUGCAAGUCAGCGGUAAAAUUGAGGGGCUCAACCCCGUCCUGCCGUUGAACCUGGGUCUCGUGAGUGAGCGAGAAGUAUGCGGAAUGCGUGGUGUAGCGGUGAAAUGCAUAGAUAUCACGCAGAACUCCGAUUGCGAAGGCAGCAUACCGGCGCGCAACUGACGCUCAUGCACGAAAGCGUGGGUAUCGAACAGGAUUAGAUACCCUAGUAGUC